UCAACUCGGAGGAAGUGGGACGACGUCAAGUCAUCAUGCCCCUUAUGUCUUGGGCUGCACACGUGCUACAAUGGCCGGUACAAUGAGCUGCGAUACCGUGAGGUGGAGCGAAUCUCAAAAAGCCGGUCUCAGUUCGGAUUGGGGUCUGCAACUCGACCCCAUGAAGUCGGAGUCGCUAGUAAUCGCAGAUCAGCAUUGCUGCGGUGAAUACGUUCCCGGGCCUUGUACACACCGCCCGUCACGUCACGAAAGUCGGUAACACCCGAAGCCGGUGGCCCAACCCCUUGUGGGAGGGAAUCGUCGAAGGUGGGACUGGCGAUUGGGACGAAGUCGUAACAAGGUAGCCGUACCGGAAGGUGCGGCUGGAUCACCUCCUUUCUA
rnacentral:rRNA from 1 species